rnacentral:rRNA from 1 species
UACAGAGGUCCCGAGCGUUGUUCGGAUUCACUGGGCGUAAAGGGUGCGUAGGUGGCGAUGAAAGUUCGAUGGGAAAUCUCCGGGCUUAACCCGGAAAAGGCAUUGAAAACUAUGUUGCUUGAGGUUUGGAGGGGGGACUGGAAUUCUUGGUGUAGCAGUGAAAUGCGUAGAUAUCAAGAGGAACACCAGUGGCGAAGGCGGGUCCCUGGACAACACCUGACACUGAGGCACGAAAGCUAGGGGAGCAAACAGG